UAAAGAAGCUUUCAAGCUUCACUCGAAGAUGAGCCUGCGGUGUAUUAGCUAGUUGGUGGGGUAAUGGCCUACCAAGGCGACGAUGCAUAGCCGGACUGAGAGGUUGAACGGCCACACUGGGACUGAGACACGGCCCAGACUCCUACGGGAGACAGCAGUUAGGAAUACUCGGCAAUGGGGGAAACCCUGACCGAGCAAUGCCGCGUGUGAGAUGAAGGUCCUUUGGAUUGUAAAUCACUUUUAUUAGGGAAGAAUUGUAAGUAUAGGAAAUGAUAUUUACUUGACGGUACCUUUUGAAUAAGCCCCGGCUAACUACGUGCCAGCAGCCGCGGUAAUACGUAGGGGGCGAGCGUUAUCCGGAUUUAUUGGGCGUAAGGCGUGUGUAGGCGGUUUAUUAAGUCUGAGAUGAAAGGCUGUGGCUUAACCACAGUUUGUUUCAGAAACUGGUAGACUAGAGUAUGGUAGAGGCAAAUGGAAUUCAUAGUGUAGCGGUAAAAUGCGUAGAUAUUAUGAGGAACAUCAGUAGCGAAGGCGAUUUGCUGGGCCAUCACUGACGCUGAGACACGAAAGCGUGGGGAACAAAUAGGAUUAGAUACCCUAGUAGUCCACGCCGUAAACAAUGAGUACUAAGUGUCGGGCAACCGGUGCUGAAAGUUAACACAUAAAGUGAUCCGCCUGAGUAGUACGGUCGCAAGACUAAAAACUCAAAGGAAAUAAGCGGGCACCCGCAACAAGCGGUGGAGCAAGCCGAUUAAUUCGAAAGUACGCGAAGAACCUUACCAAGGCUUGACAUCCCCGGCAAAGCUAUAGAAAUAUAGUGGAGGCUACCCGGGUGACAGGUGGUGCAUGGUUGUCGUCAGCUCGUGUCGUGAGAUGUU
rnacentral:rRNA from 1 species